rnacentral:rRNA from 2 species
GAGCUGAUUACAAUUAUUGGCAAAAAGGUACGCCGGGGAUAACAGGUUAAAAAUUAACUAAAGUUCUUAUUUAGUUAAUUCAUUGACACCUCCAUGUCGUCUCACCAUACC